rnacentral:rRNA from 1 species
UACAGAGGGUGCAAGCGUUAAUCGGAAUUACUGGGCGUAAAGCGUGCGUAGACGGUUACAUAAGUCGGGUGUGAAAGCCCCGGGCUCAACCUGGGAAUUGCAUUCGAGACUGCGUAGCUAGGGUGCGGAAGAGGGAAGCGGAAUUUCCGGUGUAGCGGUGAAAUGCGCAGAUAUCAGGAGGAACACCGAUUGCGAAGGCAGCUCGCUGGGACGUCACUGACGCUGAGACGCGAAAGCGUGGGGAGCAAACAGG